rnacentral:rRNA from 1 species
GACGAACGCUGGCGGCGUGCUUAACACAUGCAAGUCGAACGGAAAGGCCCUUUUCGGAGGGUGCUCGAGUGGCGAACGGGUGAGUAACACGUGGGUGAUCUGCCCUGCACUUUGGGAUAAGCCUGGGAAACUGGGUCUAAUACCGGAUAUUCCUUGCUGGUUGCAUGGCUGGUGGGGGAAAGUUCUGUGGAGCGGUGUGGGAUGAGCCUGCGGCCUAUCAGCUUGUUGGUGGGGUGAUGGCCUACCAAGGCUGCGACGGGUAGCCGGCCUGAGAGGG